UACGGGGGGGGGCAAGCGUUGUUCGGAAUUACUGGGCGUAAAGGGCUCGUAGGCGGUUUGUCGCGUCGGAAGUGAAAACACGGGGGCUUAACUCUGUGCUUGCUUUCGAUACGGGCAGACUAGAGGGAUGCAGGGGAGAACGGAAUUCCUGGUGUAGCGGUGAAAUGCGCAGAUAUCAGGAGGAACACCGGUGGCGAAGGCGGUUCUCUGGGCCUUACCUGACGCUCAGGCGCGAAAGCUAGGGGAGCGAACAGG
rnacentral:rRNA from 1 species